rnacentral:lncRNA from 1 species
GUGCUCGGCUGCAAGAACCUCGUCCACCCCCACCCUGUGUCCCGCUGUUGCAGGACUCGGGUCCGCCCCGCCCGGAGGCCGGGAUGGGCGCGGGGGUGGCUGCCCAAAGUAUCUGCACUCUUAGGCCUCUCUGUGAACCGCUGCAGGCAGGGGGACUGGCGGUCAGCAGGAAGCGGGAAGACCGGGCAGGACCUUGCCAGGGAGUUUGCGGGAAGGAAGUGGGGCGGGGGCGGGCCGCACCCCUCCCCGGGCUCCUGCACCCCGCGCCCCAGCACCCCGCGCUCCCGGCUCCCCAGCCCCUCGGACCCGCCUCAGCGGCGUCUCCCCGGGUCCCCCCGCGCGCGUUGACGUCGUCGCGGGGCCGCCCGGAGCUCCAGGCAUUGGCUGGGAAGUCGAUUGUCUUGGGCGGCUGCUUUACCCUUCGGCGGGGUCUCGAGUCCCGGAGGAAGCAGGCGUGUGUGGAAUUCUCUCCGACCCUCGCGGCGGAAUAAACAGGAAGCGAAGAGCACCCAGCCCGGCCCACACUUGCCUUUGUUGAGGGGUCUGCCCCGCACAGCCCUGAGGAGGCUGCCCCGGACCCCCGCCCGAUGCGCCGCCCCGGGUGGGGCUGGGGGCGCGCCCUGUGAGCAGGUUGGUGGGAGUCGGUGGGCUCUGUUUAGGUCAGUCGCUAAGGUGGC